rnacentral:rRNA from 1 species
UACGGGGGGGGCAAGCGUUGUUCGGAAUUACUGGGCGUAAAGGGCUCGUAGGCGGCCAACUAAGUCAGACGUGAAAUCCCUCGGCUUAACCGGGGAACUGCGUCUGAUACUGGAUGGCUUGAGUUUGGGAGAGGGAUGCGGAAUUCCAGGUGUAGCGGUGAAAUGCGCAGAUAUCGGGAGGAACACCGGUGGCGAAGGCGGUUCUCUGGGCCUGUACUGACGCUGAGGAGCGAAAGCGUGGGGAGCGAACAGG